rnacentral:lncRNA from 1 species
CAGCUGUGGUUCCGCAUCCACUGGGCUCUUCCAGCAUCUUCUUUUGCAACUGUCUGACAUCUGCUGUCUGGGAGACACGUCUGGCUUCCAGAUGAACAUCUAUCCCUCCUGGUAACCCAGCCACUCUGGACAAGGCCUUUAAGUGAACUUGGAAGUGAGUGCCAGGGACGAGUCUUGGAGAUGGGACUUCUGCUGUCAAAUGCCUGUCCCCAGUCAUGCUAAGUACCGAAAGUUCAGUGGUGAAUGCAGCUCCUGCCUUCUGUUUGACUACAAAGUGGUCCCUGGUGUGGUUUGCCAUAAUGUCUCUGUCUUAAUUAGAGUUUUACUGCUGUGAACAGACACCAUGACCAAGGCAAGUCUUAUAAAAACAACAUUUAAUUGGGCUGACUUACGGAGCAGUAUACGAAACCCUACCAUGUCAAAUGUAGCAUGGUCCCACAUUCACCGGUUCAUUCAUGGUAGGUCUGGCUCUGCUCGGAGUGUAUCUCAGUGGUAGAGUGCUUGCCUCUCCGUGUAAGGCCCUGAG